rnacentral:lncRNA from 10 species
UAAAGAUCAACCCCUGACCUAACCGGUUAUGUUAUCUAUAGAUUCCAGACAUUGUAUGGAAGAGCAUUGUAAAAGUCCCUGUCCUGUUCUGUUUCAUUCUGGUUACUGGUGCAUGCAGCCCCCAGUCACGUAACCCCUGCUUGCUCAAUUGAUCACGACCCUCUCAUGUGGACCCCCUUAGAGUUGUGAGCCCUUAAAAGGGACAGGAAUUGCUCACUUGGGGAGCUUGGCUCUUGAGGCAGGAGUCUUGCUGAUGCUCCCAGCCAAAUAAACCUCUUCCUUCUUUAACUCGGUGUCUGAGGAGUUUUGUCUGCAGCUCGUCCUGCUACAUUUCUUGGUUCUCUGACCGGGAAGCGAGGUGAUUGGCGGAUGGUCGAGGCAGCUCCUUAGGCAGCUUAAGCCUGCCCUGUGGAACAUCGCUAUGGGGGACUCCGAUCAGCCCGAGUGAUGCAGAUCCUGAGAGCACUCCCAGAUAGGCAUUUGCCCCAGUGGGAAGUCUUGCCAGAGCAGCGCGCGGCAGACCCCCAUGGAGGAUCAAUGCAGUGGCUGAACACCGGGAUGGAACGGGCACUUGGAAUCUGGACAUCUGAAAUUUGCAUUUUUCAAUUUCCAUGGUGAAAAUACUCCUACUAUGGCUGAUUUGAAGCUACCAACAUGAUGUGACUUUACAUGGAGGUGGAAAGAGACGGGCACACCAUUAUACAAUAUUCCCAUUAUGCAGACACAAGUGAAAAUAACUUCAAGAGCAUAAAUAAUAAAAUGCAGUAAAAUAAUUUGUAAGUGAUGAGUUUUGAGUAUUCUUACCUUCAUUUUAAAUAUAAUUUAUUUUAACAUUUAAUUUUUAGUAAUGGCUGCAUUUAACAACCAGUUGGCAAAAUUACUGAAAGUUUAACAAUUGGUUAUUGUAAACCAGUACAAACUGGCUCCAGCCCACCACUGGAUCUACUAUAACAUUAGUAAUACAUUGUUAAUUAUGCUGUUACUACAGUUUCCUCGUUUUGGAGGAGGAGGAAUAUGGGACAUCCUAACUGAGAGACAGAUGGGUAAUUGUAAAACUCCAGUUGUGGGUGUGGUUGUGAGAUGAUGUGGGUGGCAGAGGAAGUUGUGCAAGAGCUUCAGCAAAAGGGUAAGGAAUGGCAAUUAUGAAGGCAAGGUCAGAGAGUGAACACCAGAUGUUUCGCCUUAGAAGAGAAAGAGAGGAAGAGAGGACACUAUUUAUGGAGUGCCUACUGUAUGUUGUGCAUGUGCCAGUCUCAUGGCACGUUGUAUUUCAUCUAAUCCUCAUAACAUACUUGAAAGGCAGAUAGCUAAGUAGCACUGUGUAAGAAGACAAACUCAGGUCUGGCUAACUCCAAAACCGUUAU